GGGAGUGGUGAUGUACUCCUGUAGUCUGAGUACCCGGAGGAUAGCUAGGUAUAGAGGAUGUUUUUAGGGAGCGGGGAUUUUGGGAUUGGAUUUCUCAGGUUGACUAGGCGUACGCUAGGAAUAAAACUUCAACUUGGAUGCCUUGGGGGAGCCUGAGGUAGCCAGGUUCAGUUUAAAAAGGGGAAAAAUCGCCCCAAAAGUCACCGAGUUUGAGAGGGUCGUGAAUUUAAACUCUGGGAAUGGGAGUUUAAUUUCAACUCGUCUAAACAAGAACAUACCUGUACCUAA
rnacentral:SRP_RNA from 2 species